rnacentral:rRNA from 1 species
AACGAACGCUGGCGGCAGGCUUAACACAUGCAAGUCGAGCGCCCCGCCCGGGGAGCGGCCGACGGGUGAGUACCGCGUGGGAACGUACCUUUUGGUUCGGAACAACUCUGGGAUACUGGAGCUAAUACCGGAUAAGCCCUAACGGGGAAAGAUUUAUCGCCGAAAGAUCGGCCCGCGUCUGAUUAGCUAGUUGGUGAGGUAACGGCUCACCAAGGCGACGAUCAGUAGCUGGUCUGAGAGGAUGAUCAGCCACACUGGGACUGAGACACGGCCCAGACUCCGACGGGAGGCAGCAGUAGGGAAUAUUGGACAAUGGGCGCAAGCCUGAUCCAGCCAUGCCGCGUGAGUGAUGAAGGCCUUAGGGUUGUAAAGCUCUUUUGUCCGGGAAGAUAAUGACGGUACCGGAAGAAUAAGCCCCGGCUAACUUCGUG